ensembl:rRNA 5S_rRNA 5S ribosomal RNA
GUCUACGGCCAUACCACCCUGAAUGCGCCCGAUCUCGUCUGAUCUUGGUAGCUGAGCAGGUUUGGGCCUGGUUAGUAUUGGGUGGGAGAGAGAGACAGAGGAAAGGAGGGAUAUCUUCCAACUGCAGGUU